UUACCUCCAGAGGACACACCAACAAGUCAUCAUCUUGGACACACAGACAUGGACGUCACCAGACUCUGAACCUGCUGGUGCCUUGAUCUUGGACUUCCCAGUCUCCAGAAUGGUCUCUCCUUCCCACAUUAUUAUUUUGAGUGUUGCAUGUUCUGUUCCCCUUGCUGCCUGCUCCUCAUGUCAUGUCAGUGUGCAUUUCUAAUAACAGAAUGCCCUGAGUACUCAAGACUUCCCUCUGUGUGUGGGAGACAAGAAGACCCAAGGAAAAUUUUAAAACAUGGGAAUGAGACAGGAAGUCAAGCAAAUACUAAGCAAACUGAAGGGAGGAAAGUAGAGGGAACAGCAAGAAAAAAGCAAAAACCUCUGAAAUCAAGCAAGCUAGGAAGAAACCAAGAACAAAAAGCUGAACAUAGACAUUGGGUUUUGAAUAUCAGGCAACUCAGGCAACUGAGUUUUCAGAUGUGAAAGAAUCAUUUUACAGAUUGAGGCCCAAAGGUGGUAACAUGGAUCAUAAAAUGGUUGAGAGCAGGACUGUGACCAGAAUCUCCAUCUUGACAACUCCCAAGACAAUUUUCUUUCCACUCCUUCAUUCUGUCUUUGGGGAAGCUCUUUAGGUGGCCAGAGACAGAGUAAAGGCAUUUUGUGAAAUUCCAGAUGAUUCUUAUACUACUUUUACUCCUCAGGUUGGACAGAGAUAACAGAUCUGACUUUACCCUCAGCUGCACAAUGGCUUCCUAGAGGUUCAGUAACUUAUUUUAUUGAUGGUGAGUCUUGGAGGAUGAAAUGCCAUGGGCACUUGACUGGAUUUAAUUAACAGAUACUUUAUUGCACUGACUAUGCACCAGGCACUGUCCUAGGUUUUUCAGUUUUGUUUUUACAAAUAUUAACAGAUUUAAUUCUUGUGUGGAUCCCAUGCAAGAAAAAAGUUCUCUUGCCCUUCUGAACUUCAGCUGCAGGGCAAUUUAGCUCCUAACAGAAAAUCAGGACUUGGUGACUCCCCUUUUAUGAGGCUGGGUUUGAAAGGCCUGUGAGUCACACUGCAGGGAACUAUUUUCCUCCACCACCUGGAGCCUCAGGAAACAAUAUCUGUGGGCUGUGAGGAAGCUUGAACAAUUAGAGUCUGCAGGCAUGGCUGGAUUUACCUUUGAUUCCUUUCCUCUGGUCCCUGACUUCAUAAGUCUGCAUUCCUCCCUACAAACACACACACAAUUUACUUAUUGUUUCAUGCUACCUAAGUUGUCUGUGAUCAUAAUAAACUAAUGACUGCCAAAGA